AUACAUGCAAGUCGAACGCGUCUCCGUUAAUGAUUUUAGGUGCUUGCACUUGAAAGAUUUAACAUUGAGACGAGUGGCGAACUGGUGAGUAACACGUGGGUAACCUGCCCUUGAAGUAGGGGAUAACACUUGGAAACAGGUGCUAAUACCGUAUAACAACCAAAACCACCUGGUUUUGGUUUAAAAGACGGCUUCGGCUGUCACUUUAGGAUGGACCCGCGGCGUAUUAGCUUGUUGGUAAGGUAACGGCCUACCAAGGCGAUGAUACGUAGCCGACCUGAGAGGGUAAUCGGCCACAUUGGGACUGAGACACGGCCCAAACUCCUACGGGAGGCAGCAGUAGGGAAUCUUCCACAAUGGACGAAAGUCUGAUGGAGCAACGCCGCGUGAGUGAUGAAGGGUUUCGGCUCGUAAAACUCUGUUGUUGGAGAAGAACAGGUGUCAGAGUAACUGUUGACAUCUUGACGGUAUCCAACCAGAAAGCCACGGCUAACUACGUGCCAGCAGCCGCGGUAAUACGUAGGUGGCAAGCGUUGUCCGGAUUUAUUGGGCGUAAAGCGAGCGCAGGCGGUUUUUUAGGUCUGAUGUGAAAGCCUUCGGCUUAACCGGAGAAGUGCAUCGGAAACCGGGAGACUUGAGUGCAGAAGAGGACAGUGGAACUCCAUGUGUAGCGGUGAAAUGCGUAGAUAUAUGGAAGAACACCAGUGGCGAAGGCGGCUGUCUGGUCUGUAACUGACGCUGAGGCUCG
rnacentral:rRNA from 1 species